ensembl:lncRNA
ACUCUGCACCGGGGCCUGUGUGCUAAGUUGCUUCAGCCAUGUCCAACUCUGUGCGACCCCAUGGACUGUAGCCUUCCAGGUUUCUCUGUCCAUGGGAUUCUCCAGGCAAGAAUACUGGAGUGGGUUGCCAUGCCCUCCUCCAAGGGAUCUUCCCGACCCAGGGAUUGAACCUGGGUCUCUUCCAUCUCCUGCAUUGGCAGGGGCCGCUAAGUUUAAAAUCCUCUCGGUGGUCUGUCUUCGUGGCUUGUGCCGUCUCCCUCUUGGGCAGCGCUGGUUUGGAGGCUGCUCUGGCAUCAGCACUGUGGAAGAGGAAGAAGGAACGGGGUCAAGGGAUGUCAGGAGGACCACAGCCAGUGUGCUUUCCUCUACCUUCACUCUGCUGAGAGGGUCUAGAGUGAGGCCGGAGGGAGCUCAGCUGGAGAAGAGGCGGUGCCAGAGCUCAGGAUCCAGAGGAGGGGGCGUGUGUGCCGAGCAGCCCUGUGACUGUGGUGUUGAUGUGAAUUCUUAGUAGAGAGCACUCUGAAGGAGAGUAAUUGAUGGUGUUCCACGCCUCUCUGGGAUACUGGAUAUUAAUAGAAGAGGACGCUACCCAAUUCUGGGGAUGUUGCAGAAGGCAGCAGUGAACGCUCUUGCCCCUCCAGGUUCCUCCAGACUGUUGAACAACACGUGGUCUGAACCAGCACCACAGAGGAGACCCCGGUGGGCUGUCUGUCCUAGAAGAUAUUAUGUAGAGUCUGAGUUUGUUAGGGCUGACACAACAAAGAACCACAGGCUGGGGGCUUGAACAACAGAAGUGUAUGGUCUCACAGCUUUGCAAGUCUGAGGUCAAGAUGUGAAAAGGGCUGGUCUCUUCUGAGGACUGUGAGGUCUUAGAAUCUGCUCCAGGCCUCUCUCCUAGGCUCUGUGGGUUGGUGCUGCUCAGCUUGUAGAUGCAUCGCCCUGAUUGCUGCCUCCAUCUUCACACGCUGUGCCCGUGUCUGUGUCCAGGUUUUCCCUGUCUAUAAGGACAGCGGUCGUGUUGGAUUAGGACCCACCCUAAUGACCUCAACUUUAACUUGAGUACUCUAUAAAGACCUUGUAUCCAAAUAACAUCACAU